UACGUAGGGCGCAAGCGUUGUCCGGAAUUAUUGGGCGUAAAGAGCUCGUAGGCGGCCUGUUACGUCUGCUGUGAAAUCCCGGGGCUUAACCCCGGGCGUGCAGUGGAUACGGGCAGGCUGGAGGCAGGCAGGGGAGAACGGAAUCCCGGUGUAGCGGUGAAAUGCGCAGAUAUCGGGAGGAACACCGGUGGCGAAGGCGGUUCUCUGGGCCUGUAC
rnacentral:rRNA from 1 species